rnacentral:rRNA from 1 species
UUAGGAAUUUUGCGCAAUGGGAGAAAUCCUGACGCAGCAACGCCGCGUGGGUGAUGAAGGCCUUCGGGUUGUAAAGCCCUUUUAGUGGGGACGAAAUAAAUGACGGUACCCGCAGAAGAAGCACCGGCUAACUCUGUGCCAGCAGCCGCGGUAAUACAGAGGGUGCAAGCGUUAUUCGGAAUUACUGGGCGUAAAGCGCAUGUAGGCGGUUCGGUAAGUCUGAUGUGAAAUCCCCCGACUCAAUCGGGGAAGUGCAUCGGAUACUGCCGGACUGGAGGACAGGAUAGGAGAACGGAAUUCCUGGUGUAGAGGUGAAAUUCGUAGAUAUCAGGAGGAACAACUGUGGCGAAGGCGGUUCUCUGGACUGUAACUGACGCUGAGAUGCGAAAGCGUGGGGAGCAAACAGG